AACUUAGCUUCCUCUUAUCAGUCCAACCCUAGAAAAUAUCUCAACGCACGCCUUCUCUUCUCCCUUGAAAAACUUCUCACCCUCUCUCUCUCUCUCUCUAGUUGCUAUGACCACCAACCGAAAAUCACAAUCGGCACUGCCACCAUGUCGCCUCUACAGCAUAGAUCAGAUCCACGCCACUGCCUCAGCUACCGAUAAACAUCUCUCUCAGCCUCUUCAUGUCGCUUGAACUCUCUCUGUGUUCAACGCCACUACCGUUCACGACCACCACCUAGACCUGAACCUCCAGAUUUAUAACUCACUCCUCUCCUCCAAAGAUCUGUCAUCUGUACUGAGAACAUGUUGGAACAAAUGCCUGAGAAGAAGCCUUUACUAAAAUACCCCACACAUACUACAAAAUAGGUUUCCAAUUUUUAAUACCAAACAAAUUUUCAAGUUCUCAAAAAAGUCAGAAUAAAACUCCAACUCAAAGAUGCAGAUUCAAUUCCAAUUUUUGAAAAUGGUUUUCUAAUUGCCAGCCAAACGAGGCCUUCGUGUUUUUGUUGUUUCUUAAAGACAUUGCAAUUUGUGGGGGGUUUUGAUUUUCUGGAUUUUUUUUUUUGCUAUGCUAAGAAUAGGUGAGGGAACAAAAAUGUUAGUU